ensembl:snoRNA LOC120099512 small nucleolar RNA SNORA17
AUUGCAGUUACAGAGAAGAGAGGGAAUCUGUCUAUUCUCAGUGAUCUGACCUAUGACCAUCAGAUUGAUUAAUAGCCUAACAUU